rnacentral:rRNA from 1 species
AACGCGAAGAACCUUACCCAGGCUUGACAUCCCUUGAAAGCCGUAGAAAUACGGUCUUAAUCGCAAGAUUACAAGGUGACAGGUGCUGCAUGGCUGUCGUCAGCUCGUGCCGUGAGGUGUUGGGUUAAGUCCCGCAACGAGCGCAACCCUCGCUUCGUGUUGGUCCGCAAGGAUCUCUCACGAGGGACCGCCGGUGAGAAGCCGGAGGAAGGUGGGGAUGACGUCAAGUCAGCAUGGCCCUUACGUCUGGGGCUACACACGUGCUACAAUGGGUGCGACAACGAGUUCCAAGCUCGCGAGGGUAAGGCAAUCUCUUAAACGCAUCCUCAGUUCGGAUUGAAGGCUGCAACUCGCCUUCAUGAAGUCGGAAUCGCUAGUAAACGCAGAUCAGCUACGCUGCGUUGAAUACGUUCCCGGGCCUUGUACACACCGGAGUGC